rnacentral:piRNA from 1 species
UCCGCGAGGUGACUGAGUGCAACAUAGAG